AGAGUUUGAUCCUGGCUCAGAUUGAACGCUGGCGGCAUGCCUUACACAUGCAAGUCGAACGGCAGCACGGGGGCAACCCUGGUGGCGAGUGGCGAACGGGUGAGUAAUACAUCGGAACGUGUCCUGUAGUGGGGGAUAGCCCGGCGAAAGCCGGAUUAAUACCGCAUACGAUCUACGGAGGAAAGCGGGGGAUCUUCGGA
rnacentral:rRNA from 1 species